rfam:Candidatus Altiarchaeum sp. CG2_30_32_3053 cg_3.0_sub100_scaffold_55_c, whole genome shotgun sequence.
GCGGGGGUCCCCAAGCGGUCAACGGGGCAGGACUUAAGAUCCUGUGUGCGUAAGCCUUCGAGGGUUCAAAUCCCUUCCCCCGCA